rnacentral:misc_RNA from 1 species
UCCGAGUUGACCCCGGCAGUAUCCCAUGAGUUCCCACCAUUACGUGCUGGCAACAUAGAACGAGGGUUGCGCUCGUUGCGGGACUUAACCCAACAUCUCACGACACGAGCUGACGACAACCAUGCACCACCUGUUUACGAGUGUCCAAAGAGUUGACCAUUUCUGGCCCGUUCUCGUAUAUGUCAAGCCUUGGUAAGGUUCUUCGCGUUGCAUCGAAUUAAUCCACAUCAUCCACCGCUUGUGCGGGCCCCCGUCAAUUCCUUUGAGUUUUAAUCUUGCGACCGUACUCCCCAGGCGGAUGACUUCGCGCGUUAGCUGCGUUACUAAGGAAUCGCUUCCCCAACACCUAGUCGACAUCGUUUAGGGCGCGGACUAC